GAUGAACGCUGGCGGCGUGCCUAAUACAUGCAAGUCGAGCGAACGGACGAGAAGCUUGCUUUUCUGAUGUUAGCGGCGGACGGGUGAGUAACACGUGGAUAACCUACCUAUAAGACUGGGAUAACUUCGGGAAACCGGAGCUAAUACCGGAUAAUAUUUUGAACCGCAUGGUUCAAAAGUGAAAGACGGUCUUGCUGUCACUUAUAGAUGGAUCCGCGCUGCAUUAGCUAGUUGGUAAGGUAACGGCUUACCAAGGCAACGAUGCAUAGCCGACCUGAGAGGGUGAUCGGCCACACUGGAACUGAGACACGGUCCAGACUCCUACGGGAGGCAGCAGUAGGGAAUCUUCCGCAAUGGGCGAAAGCCUGACGGAGCAACGCCGCGUGAGUGAUGAAGGUCUUCGGAUCGUAAAACUCUGUUAUUAGGGAAGAACAUAUGUGUAAGUAACUGUGCACAUCUUGACGGUACCUAAUCAGAAAGCCACGGCUAACUACGUGCCAGCAGCCGCGGUAAUACGUAGGUGGCAAGCGUUAUCCGGAAUUAUUGGGCGUAAAGCGCGCGUUAGCGGUUUUUUAAGUCUGAUGUGAAAGCCCACGGCUCAACUGUGGAGGGUCAUUGGAAACUGGAAAACUUGAGUGCAGAAGAGGAAAGUGGAAUUCCAUGUGUAGCGGUGAAAUGCGCAGAGAUAUGGAGGAACACCAGUGGCGAAGGCGACUUUCUGGUCUGUAACUGACGCUGAUGUGCGAAAGCGUGGGGAUCAAACAGGAUUAGAUACCCUGGUAGUCCACGCCGUAAACGAUGAGUGCUAAGUGUUAGGGGGUUUCCGCCCCUUAGUGCUGCAGCUAACGCAUUAAGCACUCCGCCUGGGGAGUACGACCGCAAGGUUGAAACUCAAAGGAAUUGACGGGGACCCGCACAAGCGGUGGAGCAUGUGGUUUAAUUCGAAGCAACGCGAAGAACCUUACCAAAUCUUGACAUCCUUUGACAACUCUAGAGAUAGAGCCUUCCCCUUCGGGGGACAAAGUGACAGGUGGUGCAUGGUUGUCGUCAGCUCGUGUCGUGAGAUGUUGGGUUAAGUCCCGCAACGAGCGCAACCCUUAAGCUUAGUUGCCAUCAUUAAGUUGGGCACUCUAAGUUGACUGCCGGUGACAAACCGGAGGAAGGUGGGGAUGACGUCAAAUCAUCAUGCCCCUUAUGAUUUGGGCUACACACGUGCUACAAUGGACAAUACAAAGGGCAGCGAAACCGCGAGGUCAAGCAAAUCCCAUAAAGUUGUUCUCAGUUCGGAUUGUAGUCUGCAACUCGACUACAUGAAGCUGGAAUCGCUAGUAAUCGUAGAUCAGCAUGCUACGGUGAAUACGUUCCCGGGUCU
rnacentral:rRNA from 1 species